CAUGCAUGACGGAGGGAGGGAAGUCCCUUCCAAGCUGGCGUUUUGUGUGUGGGAGCAGGACUGCUGAAUUGCCACGACCUCCUGGGAAUGCAGGAGGUCUGGAAGCGUCUGUGAACACCGAGAAAGACACAUCUCCUCUGACCCAGCAAGCCCACUUCUGAGAACGCAGCCCUCACAAAUGAAAGCCCCGGAGCAUAAGGACGUGGGGACAAGAUAUUUACGGUCACGCUUUUUGUGGUGGCCAAAACCUGGAAGCAAUCUGAAAGUCCGCUGGGCCUGGGAAGGUUCCCUGAAAAACCAGGUCAGGACCAUCUGAAGAGCACUUUGGGUAGAAGGUAGAGACCAACGCAACCAUUUUUGGAAAGUGUCGCCUGUCACACCACCUUACCUCCUAACAAAUCCAUGGCAAGGCUCAGAAUCGCUAACUUCAGGCCCCAGCCUCCCACGGUGCUGGGAUUCCAGGCUGACACUACCACACCCGGCUCAGAAAGAGCUACUUGAGGGCAGCUGGAUGAAGUAGACCUUUCUCCUGAAGACCCUGUCGCCAUGACUGGACUUUCCCUGCUGCCUGGAUGACCACUACUGGGAUGGGACGUUCCAGCAGGACAGCUAGGGGGCCAGUGAGCCCCUGUGAGGCAAACCCUGCCGCUCUUCCUUCAUGCCUGUCUGUUUUCCUUGUAGCUGUUUCUGGGUUUGAGAAAAUUGGAUUAAGCUUCAAUCGCAUUUCCUCCCAAACACAAAAGUCCAAAAUUAGUAGCACAUUUCCAACAGGCCUCACUUAAAGCCACAUCAGAUUAAAUAGAAUCAUCUUAAAAUGGGCCCCCCUGUGUACGGAUGAUGCAGCAGGGAUUGGAAAGGUUUAUGAAGUGAGGUAUGUUUGUAAAUACUGGAAAGCUCAAAAUUGUUUUGACCAUGUGAUAUUUGAACCAUUUCUUGUAAAUUGUAUUCAACUUGGAAUUGACAUCCUGUGGAUUUGUAGCCCUUCUCCCGCCUACGUAUUGCUCUGGAAUUUCAUUAUAAGGCCAUUUGAUGA